UUAUUUAUAAUGCUAGUUGGAUGAUUGAGUUAUUGCUGACUGAAUUCCAUAAUUUAAGAUUAAGCUGCUACUAUAGUAAUGCCGCCUUAGGCUAUGUUACCCAGACUCUGGUACUCGUGUUGGACACCAGCCGCCUAUAGGUUUAUAGUUUGAACGCACUGGUUAUUACUUGUUACUGAACUUUUAUUGUUGAGUAAGUAUGAUCCUAGUGGUUUGUAAUUCAUGUCCUAUCGAACUCGUUGUGUGGUUUCGAAUUUGCAUAUACCAUGAACUUGACUUGCUAUUUGGUUGCAAUUUGAGUUUUAUUAUUAUUUUUUUUGAAAUUUAUACAUGGGUAGGGUGGCUACUGUUUGGAGGUGCUUUGAAGAAAUGAUCUUAGAAAUUGCGUCAUUUUUCAUAGCUAAGUGAGAUGUUAUAUGCCAUUCUUUGCUGUGUUGUAACAUCAGUGGUGAUGAUUUAUUGUGUGGGAACUGGGUUUUUCGAGUUGGUCAGUUCUUCAUUGGUACAUGUUGGUGGAGGAGUUAGUGACUGCUUAUUCUAAGAGGCAGUGAUUGUGUGUAUGUACCUUUGAAUGGAUUGUUUUAAUAAAUGUUUUCCAGAGUAAGAGUGAUGCUGGGUUAAGCAGUGGUUAUAGUUGAGUAUAGCCAAGAGAAUGAUUCUUUGAUUUGACAUGAUACCCUAUAGCCAAGAGAAUUUGGUUUAGUCUCUUGCAAAAUAGUACUCCAUUUCAUAAUACUUUCUAAUUAAUUGUUUAUAUAAUAUUAACACAAGCUCAACUGAAUAUUGCUAAUAUCUCUAAAAUGUCAAUACACUAUUGCUUAGUUACACUGUUUGGAACACUGGGUAUAGACAUACAACGCUAAUUUCAUGAGAUGUUCUUGUUUGAGAUUCUCUCUUCUUCAUUACAACAAUUGUAAUCUAGGUAAACUUAAAUGAAGCAUGCUUUUAACUGGAUAUGAUUAUUUAUACAAAUGAUUUUUAUUGUUUGAAUGUGUACAUGCAUAGUGAGAAACUAUUUUCAGCAUGUUCUAAACUAUUCUUAUGUUUAAAAUAUAUUACUAAUGUAGGAAUGUUACUAAUGUUUUUUAUUUUAUAAAAUUUCAGCAAAAUGGAAAGCCAAAAUAAAGAAGAAGAAAUUACUAUUAUACCGGAUGAAAAAAUUACUUAUGGAAGAAAAAGGAAAAUUGUUGAAAAUGAUGCGGAAGUAAUUGACAAAGCUGAAUUUGAGAAACAUGUGCAAAGUC